UACAGAGGCCCCAAGCGUUAGGCGGAAUCACUGGGCUUAAAGGGCGCGUAGGCGGGCUGUCAAGUCUGGGGUGAAAUGCCGCGGCUCAACCGUGGAACUGCCUUAGAUACUGACGGCCUCGAGGAAGGUAGGGGCAUGCGGAACUGUAGGUGGAGCGGUGAAAUGCGUUGAUAUCUACAGGAACUCCGGUGGCGAAAGCGGCGUGCUGGACCUUUUCUGACGCUGAGGCGCGAAAGCUAGGGGAGCAAACGGG
rnacentral:rRNA from 1 species